rnacentral:lncRNA from 1 species
CUGCCGCCAUUACGUACCACACUUUUGUGGCCACCCAGAAGAAAGCUGCUUGAGUGUGGCUUUCCAAUCUUCAGCUAUACUCAAUUAGGUCAUCUGAUCAGCCGAGUAGGAGAUUUAUGGGGCAAUGCAUCCAUAGACAAAGUCAUAGGAAGAUGUCGACUAGCCUGAUGAAUAUUGAGCAAAAGAGAGAUGACACUCUCCUUCUUCACUACCUCAAGCUCAAAGAAGGUCUCACAAGCUAUCGGCCCACAUUGUCCAUAUAGUCUCGAAGGGUGAUUAUUGUAUAAGUAGAGGAAGAGUGAACCAAUUAGACUUUAAAAACUUAAAUAUAAAGUAAGUGAAGAAAGUUGAACUUAGUCGAUAUGGCAACAUGAGUGG